rnacentral:rRNA from 1 species
AUGGAUCCCUUUCACGUCCCUGCAGCUGCAGCUGCCAUCUUCUGCUCAGCCAUGCUUCUCCUCACUCUCCUCUCUGGCACCACCACAAGCGCCCAAAAGACCACAACGCCCUCGUUAGCGUCAACGUCCUGUGAGCCGGCGGCAUGCGGUGGCCUCCGCAUCGCGUACCCAUUCUGGCUUAGCGGCACCCACCCGCCGGAGUGCGGCUACCGGGCCUUCCAGGUCACGUGUGACCGCAACGGCACGGCCUCCCUCGAGAACUCCAUCUGGGCGUACCAGAUCUUGGAGAUCUCUUACGAUGACAACACCUUCAGGGUCACCAACCACGAUCUCUCCGACGGCACCUGCGACAUCGAGCUCCAAGUGAAUGCCUCCUCCGACCUCGGCCUCGCGCCCUUCGGCAUCAGCCCCGACAACCAGGAGCUCUUUUUCCUCAACAACUGCACUGACUUGCAGGCACGGUAG